UUCUAUUUUUUAUAUUUGAGUUUUGGAUCUGAUUGAUUUAAACUGUUCUUAUUUGUAAGUUUUUCAAUAACUUUGUUUUAGUAACUUUUGUAAUAAUUUAUUGAUGCUUGUAUUGAUCCUUGAACUGAUUAUGUUCUGCAUCAACUAGCAUAGCUUGAAGAGCUGGUAGUAUUAUUUUUAACUCUUCCAGAAGUUAGUAUUGUAACAAAUUUUGUUAAAACUAUUUUAAUUAUCUAAUUUUGUCUUUAUACUUUAUCACUAUACACCAGUACUGAUCUAUUAUUUAAAACUAAUUAUGCAGUAUUAAUAGACUACAUAUCAAAGAGGUUAAGCGAUUUCGUGCUCGACGUCUACAUCAACAAGUUGAGGUGAUUACGUGUUUUCGAUGCCAAAUCUGUUCUUUCUCUACUGGAAAAAUCAUAUUAUGGAAUUGUUGGUUUUCAAAAGCAACUCAGGAUCUGUUUGGAUAAGUACUUAUGUAAUAUCAAAGAGGUUAAGCGAUUUCGUGCUCGACGUCUACAUCAACAAGUUGAAGUGAUUACGUGUUUUCGAUGCCAAAUCUGUUCUUUCUCUACUGGAAAAAUCAUAUUAUGGAAUUGUUGGUUUUCAAAAGCAACUCAGGAUCUGUUUGGAUAAGUACUUAUGUGUUUCAGGAAUAUUGUUAUGGAUUGAUAAUCCUUUUUUCUUUUGAAUCGGUAGUUUUGCUUUUGUUAUAAAAGGGUUUGUCUAUGGUUAAUAAUAUUUUGUGGUUGAUUGCAUGAUUUUGUGGUUUGUUUUUCAGGAUUUAGACUGGAUCGAGUUUUACUGCUGAGUUUUGAAUCUAACAAGGUAUGGCCUUAAAAUUAAACCGGCUAAUUGAUUUUAGAAGCACUAACCAGAGAACUUUUUAUCAUUUUCAUAAUAUUUGUUGUAAUUGUUAUGAUUCUUAUUAGGCGAGUAAGAUAACGAAGAAACUGCAGGAUGUGAACUAAUUAUUACAGAUCUAAAACUAUUAUUAUAGAUCUGAAAACUCACUCAGUUGCUUGGUAUCAAUUCUCUUUAUUGGGGUACUUUUUCAAUUCAUGUGUUACUUGAACCAUUCUAAUUUUUUGGUUUGUUUUUGUUGUAUAUAUUAAUGAUGGCAGGUGCAAAAACAACAAUAAAUGUAAGUUUAGAGACUGUUGUGAAGAAGUUUAGACACUAUGUCGGUGUUGGUUCGCGGCGGGCGACGAUUACUAUUCCGAAACAGAUUCGGUUUUAACUUUAUCUUUUUUCUUCUGAUGUUGUUUAUAUGUGCAAAUUUCAAAUUUGGAGUGACACGUCCUUUUGAUUGAUACACUAAUGGGGAUAAUAUUCGUGGAGAAAGCAAUUUGUAUUAAUAGACUACAUAUCAAAGAGGUUAAGCGAUUUCGUGCUCGACGUCUACAUCAACAAGUUGAGGUGAUUACGUGUUUUCGAUGCCAAAUCUGUUCUUUCUCUACUGGAAAAAUCAUAUUAUGGAAUUGUUGGUUUUCAAAAGCAACUCAGGAUCUGUUUGGAUAAGUACUUAUGUAAUAUCAAAGAGGUUAAGCGAUUUCGUGCUCGACGUCUACAUCAACAAGUUGAAGUGAUUACGUGUUUUCGAUGCCAAAUCUGUUCUUUCUCUACUGGAAAAAUCAUAUUAUGGAAUUGUUGGUUUUCAAAAGCAACUCAGGAUCUGUUUGGAUAAGUACUUAUGUGUUUCAGGAAUAUUGUUAUGGUUUGAUAAUCCUUUUUUCUUUUGAAUCGGUAGUUUUGCUUUUGUUAUAAAUGGGUUUGUCUAUGGUUAAUAAUAUUUUGUGGUUGAUUGCAUGAUUUUGUGGUUUGUUUUUCAGGAUUUAGACUGGAUCGAGUUUUACUGCUGAGUUUUGAAUCUAACAAGGUAUGGCCUUAAAAUUAAACCGGCUAAUUGAUUUUAGAAGCACUAACCAGAGAACUUUUUAUCAUUUUCAUAAUAUUUGUUGUAAUUGUUAUGAUUCUUAUUAGGUGAGUAAGAUAACGAAGAAACUGCAGGAUGUGAACUAAUUAUUACAGAUCUAAAACUAUUAUUAUAGAUCUGAAAACUCACUCAGUUGCUUGGUAUCAAUUCUCUUUAUUUGGGUACUUUUUCAAUUCAUGUGUUACUUGAACCAUUCUAAUUUUUUGGUUUGUUUUUGUUGUAUAUAUUAAUGAUGGCAGGUGCAAAAACAACAAUAAAUGUAAGUUUAGAGACUGUUGUGAAGAAGUUCAGACACUAUGUCGAUGUUGGUUCGCGGCGGGCGACGAUUACUAUUCCGAAACAGAUUCGAUUUUAACUUUAUCUUUUUUCUUCUGAUGUUGUUUAUAUGUGCAAAUUUCAAAUUUGGAGUGACACGUCCUUUUGAUUGAUACACUGACGGGGAUAAUAUUCGUGGAGAAAGCAAUUUGUAUUAAUAGACUACAUAUCAAAGAGGUUAAGCGAUUUCGUGCUCGACGUUGUCGCACGCUCGCGAAAAAUGAACAGAGUCGCCACCAAUAUAUUUAUCCCAUAAGGGAAAGGAAUAUCAGAAAACCUAACAAGGGAAGGAACAGGGUCUUGCGACCAGAGAAUCAAGGUACGGGAGUCGGUUACGCGAGGGGAAGGUAUUAGCACCCCUCACGCCCAUCGUACUCGAUGGUAUCCACCUAUGUUUGUUUCUAUCUAAUGGGUGUGUACUAUGUCUAUGUCUAAAUGCGAAAUGAAUGCAAAAUGUAGGGAAAAUAAAGAAUUGUACUCGCACGGGCCCUACCCCGCUGCCUACGUAUCCUUUUCAGGAAUCAGAGUUACCGUAGCUCGGCUCACGAUUUUCUGUUUGUUUUUGUGUUUUUUAGUUGGGCGGAGUUAACGCUCGCGCUCUUGCACAAGGGGACAGCCUAGGAUGCAAUGGAGCGGAGAUAACUUGCCCUUAGAAAGGAGAAAAAGAGAUUGGUUUGUAUCUUUUAAGGGUAAUUCCAUGAUGACGAGAACCCACUACAAGGUCUCGCAUCACUUCCUCACUUUUGUUUUAAGUCUGAACAUUUAUUAGGUUUUUUGAAGUGUUUUUGGUUGGUGUUUUUUAUGGGGAUUUUAAUUUGUGACUUAGAUCAUACCAAAAAGGGUUUUUUGUUUGUUUUUGAAUAUUUAGAGAACGCACAUCGAGGCCUACGCCACAAUCGUUUCUCUAAAUAGCGGUUAAGAAAUACAUCGAGGCUUCACCUCAAUCAUUUCUUCUCCGCUAAGUAGGAAUACAAAAAGAAGUUCUUUUGUGAAUAUUUAGAGAAUGCACAUCGAGGCCUACGCCACAAUCGUUUCUCUAAAUAACGGUUAAGAAAUACACCGAGGCUUCACACCUCAAUCAUUUCUUCUCCGUUAAGUAGGAAAGAACAUACAUCGAGGCCUACGCCUCAAUCAUUUCUUUCCUACCAUGAAAUAAAGCAACGGUAUGAUCUUCAUCGAUUUUUAUUAAGUAUUUUAAAAAUCGAAAAGAAAAAGAAUGCAAUAGGGAACUAAUCCUAAACUCUAAUCUACGUCAUUCUAAUCUACAAGUCUAAUGUUAACAAGGUGACUAAAUUCUAAAAGGAGCAUUAAAAUGGUGUUAACAAAGUAGGCCAAAAAUGUGGCCAAAACAAGUAACAACAUUACACAACAAUUAUACAAAAAUAGCAUGAAAAUGAUACAAAAGCAUAAAGAGAAGCAAUUCAAGUAUUAGUACAAAGUUAACCUAAAAAUACUACUAUUUUUUAUGAGUUUUAUGAAGGAAUUUAAUGUCAAAAUUAACCUAAAAAAAACCUACUAUUUUUAUGGGCUUUUAUGAAGAAAUCAAUUAAAAGUCAAAAUUAAAC